rnacentral:rRNA from 1 species
GAUGAACGCUGGCGGCGUGCUUAACACAUGCAAGUCGAACGGUGAAAGAGAGCUUGCUCUCUGGAUCAGUGGCGAACGGGUGAGUAACACGUGAGCAAUCUGCCCCUGACUCUGGGAUAAGCGCUGGAAACGGCGUCUAAUACCGGAUACGAGCUGCGAAGGCAUCUUCAGCAGCUGGAAAGAACUUCGGUCAGGGAUGAGCUCGCGGCCUAUCAGCUAGUUGGUGAGGUAACGGCUCACCAAGGCGUCGACGGGUAGACGGCCUGAGAGGGUGACCGGCCACACUGGGACUGAGACACGGCCCAGACUCCUACGGGAGGCAGCAGUGGGGAAUAUUGCACAAUGGGCGAAAGCCUGAUGCAGCAACGCCGCGUGAGGGACGACGGCCUUCGGGUUGUAAACCUCUUUUAGCAGGGAAGAAGCGAAAGUGACGGUACCUGCAGAAAAAGCACCGGCUAACUACGUG